GCGAGUGUAGUACAGUGGCAGUACGCUUGCCUUCCAAGCAGGAUACACGGGUUCGAUUCCCGUCACUCGCUCCA
rnacentral:tRNA from 1 species